AGUCACACCUGUGUGGGUGUGAGUUUUAGGCCACUAGAGGGCAGACAAACUUCACAAGAAGCUAGCUAAAGCGUUAUCACCUUGUCAGCCCUGUUAGCUACAGAAGCUUGUUAGCAAGCAGUUACCUAAGUUAAUUACACUAUCAGCAGACGUGGAGCGACAUUAGCAUUCAUUUGGAAACGUGUUUCUGGCCACCGGGCAAAUGCCGUCCCUAAAGUGCUGACCUGCUGUCCAGCCUUGGCCCUGGAGGAGCACGGAAAGAACAGACCUUUGAAGUGAAACGGAUCUCCAUCAGCCUCAGUGCUUUCACAAAGUAGCAGCUCAAAUCUCUUGAGAUGGAAAGAGACAGCAGAAUCCAAUCCGACAUCAGUAGAACACCACAGUUUUUUUUUCAUCUUUUC